rnacentral:rRNA from 1 species
CCUACGGGUGGCAGCAGUGAGGAAUAUUGGUCAAUGGGCGGAAGCCUGAACCAGCCAAGUAGCGUGCAGGAUGACGGCCCUACGGGUUGUAAACUGCUUUUAUACGGGAAUAACGCGCCUUACGUGUACGGCUUUGCAUGUACCUUAUGAAUAAGGACCGGCUAAUUCCGUGCCAGCAGCCGCGGUAAUACGGAGGGUCCGGGCGUUAUCCGGAUUUAUUGGGUUUAAAGGGAGCGUAGGCCGCAUGUUAAGCUUGCUGUGAAAUGUCCGGGCUCAACCCGGGCCUUGCAGUGGAAACUGGCGUGCUUGAGUACGGGAGAGGCAGGCGGAAUUCGUGGUGUAGCGGUGAAAUGCUUAGAUAUCACGAAGAACCCCGAUUGCGAAGGCAGCUUGCUGGAGCGAAACUGACGCUGAUGCUCGAAAGCGCGGGUAUCGAACAGGAUUAGAUACCCCGGUAGUC